rnacentral:lncRNA from 1 species
AGCUUUGAAGAUCUAAUUAUGCGUUUUGGCAUCUUUUUAUUGGACCCGUAGUAUGCUUAGUAACUUGUUAUUAUUUCUUAAAUCUAGUGUAAACUUGUUUGAGUGAACAUAUUCUUCACACGUUCUGAAGGGACUCAGGGACUUAGGUUCCGACGGUGAUUUGAUUUACUUUUAGCCUGAUUCACAUCACAUCAUGGCAGAUGAGGAUGUGAUCCGUCGCCGUCUCUUGAUUGAUGGAGAUGGAACAGGAGAUGAUCGCAGGCUAAAUGUCCUUUUAAAGUCUUUCAUGAAGUGGUGUGAUCAGCCGGACACAUCAGUAGAAAAUAACUUUU